GACGAACGCUGGCGGCGUGCUUAACACAUGCAAGUCGAACGGAAGGGCCCUGCUUGCAGGGUACUCGAGUGGCGAACGGGUGAGUAACACGUGGGUGAUCUGCCCUGCACUUCGGGAUAAGCCUGGGAAACUGGGUCUAAUACCGGAUAGGAGCCAUUUUUAGUGUGAUGGUUGGAAAGUUUUUUCGGUGUAGGAUGAGCUGGCGGCCUAUCAGCUUGUUGGUGGGGUAAUGGCCUACCAAGGCGGCGACGGGUAGCCGGCCUGAGAGGGUGGACGGCCACAUUGGGACUGAGAGACGGCCCAGACACCGACGGGAGGCAGAAGGGGGGAAUAUUGCACAAUGGGCGCAAGCCUGAUGCAGCGAGGCCGCGUGGGGGAUGACGGCCUUCGGGUUGUAAACUCCUUUCGCUAGGGACGAAGCUUUUUGUGACGGUACCUAGAGAAGAAGCACCGGCUAACUACGUG
rnacentral:rRNA from 1 species